UGCCGGUGUCGGGGUGGACUUGCUUCAGC
rnacentral:piRNA from 1 species